UACGGGGGGAGCAAGCGUUGUUCGGAUUUACUGGGCGUAAAGGGCGCGUAGGCGGUCGUGACAAGUCACUUGUGAAAUCUCCGGGCUUAACUCGGAACGGUCAAGUGAUACUGUCGGACUAGAGUACAGAAGGGGCAACUGGAAUUCUCGGUGUAGCGGUGAAAUGCGUAGAUAUCGGGAGGAACACCUGAGGCGAAGGCGGGCUACUGGGCCGAUACUGACGCUGAUGCGCGAAAGCCAGGGG
rnacentral:rRNA from 1 species